rnacentral:rRNA from 1 species
UUUGUAGGUGGCCAACUAAGUCAGACGUGAAAUCCCUCAGCUUAACUGGGGAACUGCGUCUGAUACUGGUUGGCUUGAGUGCAGGAGAGGAACGCGGAAUUCCAGGUGUAGCGGUGAAAUGCGUAGAUAUCUGGAGGAACACCGGUGGCGAAGGCGGCGUUCUGGACUGCAACUGACACUGAGAAACGAAAGCCAGGUAGCAAACG